rnacentral:rRNA from 1 species
AUUGAACGCUGGCGGCAUGCUUUACACAUGCAAGUCGAACGGCAGCGCGGGCUUCGGCCUGGCGGCGAGUGGCGAACGGGUGAGUAAUGCAUCGGAACGUGCCCAGUAGUGGGGGAUAGCCCGGCGAAAGCCGGAUUAAUACCGCAUACGACCUGUGGGUGAAAGCGGGGGACCGAAAGGCCUCGCGCUAUUGGAGCGGCCGAUGUCGGAUUAGCUAGUUGGUGGGGUAAAGGCUUACCAAGGCGACGAUCCGUAGCUGGUCUGAGAGGACGACCAGCCACACUGGGACUGAGACACGGCCCAGACUCCUACGGGAGGCAGCAGUGGGGAAUUUUGGACAAUGGGGGCAACCCUGAUCCAGCCAUGCCGCGUGCGGGAAGAAGGCCUUCGGGUUGUAAACCGCUUUUGUUCGGGAAGAAAUCCUCUGGGCUAAUACCCCGGGGGGAUGACGGUACCGGAAGAAUAAGCACCGGCUAACUACGUG